UCUUUUUUAGUUUAAUUAAAAUAUUAUUUUUGUAAAAUAAUGAUUCGAAAGGAG
rnacentral:tRNA from 1 species